AGGACGAACGCUGGCGGCGUGCUUAACACAUGCAAGUCGAGCGGAAAGGCCCUUCGGGGUACUCGAGCGGCGAACGGGUGGGUAACACGUGAGUAACCUGCCCUGGACUUUGGGAUAACCCUCGGAAACGGGGGCUAAUACCGGAUAUGACUUUUCCUCGCAUGGGGAUUGGUGGAAAGUUUUUCGGUCUGGGAUGGGCUCGCGGCCUAUCAGCUUGUUGGUGGGGUGAUGGCCUACCAAGGCGACGACGGGUAGCCGG
rnacentral:rRNA from 1 species